rnacentral:rRNA from 1 species
UACGAAGGGGGCUAGCGUUGUUCGAAAUUACUGGGCGUAAAGCGCACGUAGGCGGAUCCUUAAGUCAGGGGUGAAAUCCCGAGGCUCAACCUCGGAACUGCCUUUGAUACUGGGGAUAUCGAGUCCGGGAGAGGUGAGUGGAACUGCGAGUGUAGAGGUGAAAUUCGUAGAUAUUCGCAAGAACACCAGUGGCGAAGGCGGCUCACUGGCCCGGUACUGACGCUGACGGUGCGAAAGCGUGGGGAGCAAACAGG